rnacentral:rRNA from 1 species
CAUGCAAGUCGAACGAUGAACCACUUCGGUGGGGAUUAGUGGCGAACGGGUGAGUAACACGUGGGCAAUCUGCCCUGCACUCUGGGACAAGCCCUGGAAACGGGGUCUAAUACCGGAUACUGACCCUCGCAGGCAUCUGCGAGGUUCGAAAGCUCCGGCGGUGCAGGAUGAGCCCGCGGCCUAUCAGCUUGUUGGUGAGGUAAUGGCUCACCAAGGCGACGACGGGUAGCCGGCCUGAGAGGGCGACCGGCCACACUGGGACUGAGACACGGCCCAGACUCCUACGGGAGGCAGCAGUGGGGAAUAUUGCACAAUGGGCGAAAGCCUGAUGCAGCGACGCCGCGUGAGGGAUGACGGCCUUCGGGUUGUAAACCUCUUUCAGCAGGGAAGAAGCGAAAGUGACGGUACCUGCAGAAGAAGCGCCGGCUAACUACGUGCCAGCAGCGGGGGGUUAAUUCA